GAUGAACGCUGGCGGCGUGCUUAACACAUGCAAGUCGAACGAUGAAGCCCAGCUUGCUGGGUGGAUUAGUGGCGAACGGGUGAGUAACACGUGAGUAACCUGCCCUUGACUCUGGGAUAAGCCCGGGAAACUGGGUCUAAUACCGGAUAGGAGCGCCUGUCGCAUGACGGGUGCUGGAAAGAUUUUUCGGUCAUGGAUGGACUCGCGGCCUAUCAGCUUGUUGGUGAGGUAAUGGCUCACCAAGGCGACGACGGGUAGCCGGCCUGAGAGGGUGACCGGCCACACUGGGACUGAGACACGGCCCAGACUCCUACGGGAGGCAGCAGUGGGGAAUAUUGCACAAUGGGCGGAAGCCUGAUGCAGCGACGCCGCGUGAGGGAUGACGGCCUUCGGGUUGUAAACCUCUUUCAGUAGGGAAGAAGCGAAAGUGACGGUACCUGCAGAAGAAGCACCGGCUAACUACGUG
rnacentral:rRNA from 1 species